CAGUCGCCGCGGUAAAACGUAGGUGGCAAGCGUUGUCCGGAAUUAUUGGGCGUAAAGGGCUCGCAGGCGGUUUCUUAAGUCUGAUGUGAAAGCCCCCGGCUCAACCGGGGAGGGUCAUUGGAAACUGGGAAACUUGAGUGCAGAAGAGGAGAGUGGAAUUCCACGUGUAGCGGUGAAAUGCGUAGAGAUGUGGAGGAACACCAGUGGCGAAGGCGACUCUCUGGUCUGUAACUGACGCUGAGGAGCGAAAGCGUGGGGAGCGAACAGGAUUAGAUACCCCUGUAGUCCCUGUCUCUUAUAA
rnacentral:rRNA from 1 species